AGCGAAUGGAUUAAGAGCUUGCUCUUAUGAAGUUAGCGGCGGACGGGUGAGUAACACGUGGGUAACCUACCCAUAAGACUGGGAUAACUCCGGGAAACCGGGGCUAAUACCGGAUAAUAUUUUGAACUGCAUAGUUCGAAAUUGAAAGGCGGCUUCGGCUGUCACUUAUGGAUGGACCCGCGUCGCAUUAGCUAGUUGGUGAGGUAACGGCUCACCAAGGCAACGAUGCGUAGCCGACCUGAGAGGGUGAUCGGCCACACUGGGACUGAGACACGGCCCAGACUCCUACGGGAGGCAGCAGUAGGGAAUCUUCCGCAAUGGACGAAAGUCUGACGGAGCAACGCCGCGUGAGUGAUGAAGGCUUUCGGGUCGUAAAACUCUGUUGUUAGGGAAGAACAAGUGCUAGUUGAAUAAGCUGGCACCUUGACGGUACCUAACCAGAAAGCCACGGCUAACUACGUGCCAGCAGCCGCGGUAAUACGUAGGUGGCAAGCGUUAUCCGGAAUUAUUGGGCGUAAAGCGCGCGCAGGUGGUUUCUUAAGUCUGAUGUGAAAGCCCACGGCUCAACCGUGGAGGGUCAUUGGAAACUGGGAGACUUGAGUGCAGAAGAGGAAAGUGGAAUUCCAUGUGUAGCGGUGAAAUGCGUAGAGAUAUGGAGGAACACCAGUGGCGAAGGCGACUUUCUGGUCUGUAACUGACACUGA
rnacentral:rRNA from 1 species